rnacentral:rRNA from 1 species
ACGCUCGACACCUACGGGAGGCAGCAGUGGGAAUAUUGCACAAUGGGGAAACCCUGAUGCAGCGACGCCGCGUGGAGGAAGAAGGUCUUCGGAUUGUAAACUCCUGUUGUUGGGGAAAAAGAGGAUGGUACCCAACAAGGAAGUGACGGCUAACUACGUGCCAGUAGCCGCGGUAAUCUGAGCGGGCUGGCAAGGC